UUUCAUUCUGUGGAUGUAGUACGAUUCAUUGUGCGACUUGGUUUUGCAGAAAUAUCCGCCUCAACAUAAAGUGCUGGUCCAGGAUUUCUUCAACAUUGAGUUGGAUCAUCGAACAUUUCUCUUGAAAUAUUACUUGAACUGUGUUAUCAG